rnacentral:rRNA from 1 species
UUCGUAGGCGGUGCGGCAAGUCGGAAGUGAAAUCUCCAGGCUCAACUUGGAGGCUGCUCCCGAAACUGCCGCGCUGGAGUGCGGGAGAGGCCAGUGGAAUUGCAGGUGUAGCGGUGAAAUGCGUAGAUAUCUGCAGGAACACCCGUGGCGAAGGCGGCUGGCUGGACCGCAACUGACGCUGAGGAACGAAAGCUAGGGGAGCAAACAGGAUUAGAUACCCUGGUAGUCCUAGCCCUAAACGAUCAGGACUUGGGGUGCAUCCCGACGGGAUGCGUCCCGUAGCUAACGCGUUAAGUCCUGCGCCUGGGGAGUACGGUCGCAAGACUGAA